GGACUGGGCGGGUGCUAUAAUGCAGUCGACGAGUUCUCGUUGAUGAUCGGUGCUUGCACCGAGAUUCAACAUGGAACGAGUGGCGGACGGGUGAGUAACACGUGGGUAACCUGCCCUUAAGUGGGGGAUAACAUAACGAAACAGAUGCUAAUACCGCAUAGAUCCAAGAACCGCAUGGUUCUUGGCUGAAAGAUGGCGUUUGGCUAUCGCUUUUGGAUGGACCCGCGGCGUAUUAGCUAGUUGGUGAGGUAAUGGCUCACCAAGGCGAUGAUACGUAGCCGAACUGAGAGGUUGAUCGGCCACAUUGGGACUGAGACACGGCCCAAACUCCUACGGGAGGCAGCAGUAGGGAAUCUUCCACAUUGGACGCAAGUCUGAUGGAGCAACGCCGCGUGAGUGAAGAAGGCUUUCGGGUCGUAAAACUCUGUUGUUGGAGAAGAAUGGUCGGCAGAGUAACUGUUGUCGGCGUGACGGUAUCCAACCAGAAAGCCACGGCUAACUACGUGCCAGCAGCCGCGGUAAUACGUAGGUGGCAAGCGUUAUCCGGAUAAAUUGGGCGUAAAGCGAGCGCAGGCGGUUUUUUAAGUCUGAUGUGAAUGCCCUCGGCUUAACCGAGGAAGCGCAUCGGAAACUGGGAAACUUGAGUGCAGAAGAGGACAGUGGAACUCCAUGUGUAGCGGUGAAAUGCGUAGAUAUAUGGAAGAACACCAGUGGCGAAGGCGGCUGUCUGGUCUGUAACUGACGCUGAGGCUCGAAAGCAUGCCGUAGCGAACAGGAUUAGAUACCCUGGUAGUCCAUGCCGUAAACGAUGAAUGCUAGGUGUUGGAGGGUUUCCGCUCUUCAGUGCCGCAGCUAACGCAUUAAGCAUUCCGCCUGGGGAGUACGACCGCAAGGUUGAAACUCAAAGGAAUUGACGGGGGCCCGCACAAGCGGUGGAGCAUGUGACUUAAUUCGAAGCAACGC
rnacentral:rRNA from 1 species